ACAAACCACCUACUGACAUCACAAUCACAGCUCACUCACCUGAGGAAGAUGAGCCAUCCCUGCCAAAUCUUUCAGCUAAUAAUACUUUCCAUGGUAUGUAUGUUUAAUGUUGAUAUUCUAUUCAUCUGUUAAGAUAAAUUUUUUUUUUUUUUUUUUUUUUUAAUCUUCAGUAAAUUAAGAUUAUGGCUGCAUUUUUUUAUUACUGUCUACUAAUCUCAAUCUCUGUUACCUAAAUUAUACGUUUAUCUCUAUAAAGCUGCUUUGAAACAAUCUACAUUGUUAAAAGCGCUAUAUAAAUGAAGAUGACUUGACUUGAUUUACUAUCCAAAUUAGACCAUAGCUAUUGCAUCUGGCAAUACAGUCAUGCCAAUGUCUAUAUUUUAUUUCUUGAAGUACCACACAUAUGCCUGAAUACUAAGCAAAUAAUUAAAUGUCAAGAUGACCACCCCCCACCCCAUCAACAUUUUUCAGAUUUCCAGCAUCUCAUCGAGCAAUCUGAGCAGCGGAUGCUCCUCGCAAUAGAGAGAAUGUCGACAGAUAUUUCAAAUUCUAUUGAGCGUCUGGUCCAGACUAUUCAACAGAAUCAUCCUGGUCCGGCAACCAUCACAACACCACCACAGGAGACCAUUGAGAGGCCCUGCAAAACAGUGCAGGAGCUGCAAGCUUUCAUAUUAAAACUUGAGGGCCCAGAAGGGAAAAAGGAUGGUAUGUUGAUAUAGCACAGGGGUCGGCAACCUUUUUGUCACAAAGUGCCAUUUUUAAGUUCAAAAUGUAGAUCUGUGUGCAUGUAGGCUAAAUUAUCUGUAAUGAAAUACAUACACCUCUCACAUUUGCUUGUGUGCCAGCGAUUAACCCUGCUCCGUGUGCCAUUGCAACACUAACAUAUGCUUUUUAAUAUUUAUCUUUAUAUGUUGCAUAGAUACAGUUUUUGAGCCUGAUGGGAGGUAGCAACAUUGGAGACGCUGUGAGGAGAAUCCUUCGGAAAAUAGCUACCAAUGAGGCCUGGUCAAAUUACAGCCUGAAAGGCCGAAAAGGAAAACUGACCUUCAUUGGGACAGCGCUUCACCAUAUUGUUUUAAGUGCUUGUGCCAAACAAUUUCCGAAACACACAGAAAAGGAAAUUGAUACAUGUAUAGGGGAAACCCUCAAACAUGCACCUCACCGUGCCAAGGUGGUCGCGACACCUGCAGCGGAAGAAGAACUUCGGGCACCUCCUGGGGAUGGAGACAAUGACUGACACACACGCACACACGCACACACGCACGCACGCACGCGCACACACACACACACACACACACACACACACAGUAUAUAUUUAAUUUAAAUAAUUGUUUUUGUUACUUGUUGUUCAGCAUUUACUGAACAUAAAAUUAAUAUAAAUCGUUGUUCUUGUUGUUAUUACUGUUUCCUAAUAUUUGGAAAAAUCUGUUUUUGUUCACACAAAAUAAAUAAAUAAAUGACUGAUUUUAUCUUUGAGUGUGUUAAACGUGCAUGCUUAUUCCUGAUUAAGGUUCUGAAGUGUUUUUUGCAGUAACAUUCUAGUUUGGUUCCCUACAGGUCCUUGAGACCAGUGGGGAUGUUCUUAGAACGUUCUGGGAACAUCACAUUUCCAAAUAAAACAUGGUCCCCUAAACGUUCCGAUAACGUCCUGAAUGUUCUGUGAAGGUCCGCAAAAUAACGUCCCCCGACCCUUUAAAGAACUCCACAUCAUGACCGUCUCCGAACGUUCCCGGAACGUUACUAGGCGACGUCCUUGACACUAGUGGGGACGUUCUGAGAACGUCCUGGGAACGUAACAUUUCUAGCUGGGUAAAAGUAAUAUAGAAUCAGUGGUGGACAGUAACGGAAUAGCUUUACUUCGUUACUGUACUUAAGUACAUUUUUCAAGUAUCUGUACUUUACUGGAGUAGUUUUAUUUUAAGUAACUUUUACUUUUACUUCACUACAUUCCAAAGCAUAAGAUCGUACUUUUUACUUCACUACAUUUCAUAAAACAUAUCGUUACUCCUUAUAAUAUAUCACGUGCUCUGAGACGCAGAAGCGGUGUCUGAUUCAAGAACGAACUGAUUCUUUUCAAUGAACCUUUUAAAUCGGUUGGCAAAUCGCACCAAACGAUUCAUUCACGAAUUAGAAUGAUCUGAUUGCAGCUGUUCUCGAGUCUACAACUCACUGAUUCAAAUGACCAUUUAGUGCGAGUCUCCAGUGAACUCAAUUCACAAAUAAGAACCGGGAGAUCUUGUGAGCGCGCGCGACUGAUGCUGCUAAAAGUAAGUUACUAAUGUCGAAUUUUAGGAUUAAUUAUUGUAAAUGAAUAUCAUAUUUAGGUCAAAACUGUUAUUUGUUUGUGAACUAAAUCUGCUGUAAAGGGUGAUCUAUUUAAGCCCACUGAAAUGCUUGAAUGCAAACACAUCAGCAUCUGUGCCUCUUAGGUAAAAAUACAUUAAAAUAACACAGAUUAAAUAAAAUAACUAAUGCACGUUCAAAUUCCCGCUAGCAUAACAUUAACAGUUCUAUUAAAAUGCUACGCAUUUAGCCCUAUGUGACGUCUGUUUUAUAUUGUUUAUCAACAGUAUAAAUGUUUAUAUUGUUUGGAUUAACUAGCCAAGUAGAUAUGAAUGUUUAUUCAUUACCAUACUGAAAAUAAGUAAAUAUUGGGAGCUGAUGCUAACUGUCUAACAAGCUUGCUGGUGCUAAAUUGAGGUUAUUUUUAAAAAUAAAGUCCAAAUAUUUUUAUUCAACCACCUAGAUAUAUUAUAUCUGGGGGAAAAAGA
ensembl:lncRNA